rnacentral:lncRNA from 1 species
GGAAUACAUUGGAGCAUAUCUCACCUCUAUUAUAGAGUUCCCCUAUUUUAGAGGUGAAAAUAACAAAAUACAUUGGAGAUGGUCUAAGAGACUACUUUUAUCAUGCGUCAUCACAUGAUUGAAGUUAUUUCCUUCUGUAAUAAAAUUUAAUUACAUUAUUAGAUAAUACUAUUAAAAUAUUGCUUAGGUACUCUUUCAAGAAUAUUUGUCAAUGUGGAUGUUCUAAGACAUUAAUAAUAGAUACUCCAUCCAUUUUAGAAAGAUAUAUGUUUUUGGUGUUUUACACUUAAAAAAAAA